UACAGAGGGGGCAAGCGUUGUUCGGAAUUACUGGGCGUAAAGGGUGCGUAGGCGGGUCUUUAAGUCAGGGGUGAAAUCCUGGAGCUCAACUCCAGAACUGCCUUUGAUACUGAAGAUCUUGAGUUCGGGAGAGGUGAGUGGAACUGCGAGUGUAGAGGUGAAAUUCGUAGAUAUUCGCAAGAACACCAGUGGCGAAGGCGGCUCACUGGCCCGAUACUGACGCUGAGGUGCGAAAGCGUGGGGAGCAAACAGG
rnacentral:rRNA from 1 species